rnacentral:rRNA from 1 species
UACGUAGGGUGCAAGCGUUGUCCGGAAUCAUUGGGCGUAAAGAGCGCGCAGGCGGUCUAUCAAGUCAGACGUGAAAUAUCCAGGCUUAACCUGGAGGGGUCAUUUGAAACUGGUAGACUAGAGUACAGCAGAGGAUAGUGGAAUUCCCGGUGUAGUGGUGAAAUGCGUAGAUAUCGGGAGGAACACCAGUGGCGAAGGCGACUAUCUGGGCUGAAACUGACGCUGAGGCGCGAAGGCUAGGGGAGCAAACAGG